rnacentral:misc_RNA from 1 species
GAAAUGCGAAAGUUAAUGCGAAUUGCAGAAUUCAGUGAAUCAUCGAGUCUUUGAACGCACAUUGCGCUCCUUGGUAUUCCUUGGAGCAUGCCUGUUUGAGUAUCAUGAAAUCUUCAAAGUAAAUCUUUUGUUAACUCAAUUGGUUUCUACUUUGGUAUUGGAGGUCUUUGCAGCUUCACACCUGCUCCUCUUUGUUCAUUAGCUGGAUCUCAGUGUUAUGCUUGGUUCCACUCGGCGUGAUAAGUUAUCUAUCGCUGAGGACACUGUAAAAGGUGGCCAAGGUAAAUGCAGAUGAACCGCUUCUAAUAGUCCAUUGACUUGGACAAUACUUUUAUGAUCUGAUCUCAAAUCAGGUAGGACUACCCGCUGAACUUAAGC